rnacentral:rRNA from 1 species
AUUGAACGCUAGCGGGAUGCCUUACACAUGCAAGUCGAACGGAGUGGCGAACGGGUGAGUAAUGUAUCGGAACGUGCCCAGUAGCGGGGGAUAACUACGCGAAAGCGUAGCUAAUACCGCAUACUAUUGGAGCGGCCGAUAUCGGAUUAGCUAGUUGGUGGGGUAACGGCUCACCAAGGCGACGAUCCGUAGCUGGUUUGAGAGGACGACCAGCCAGACGGUGACUGAGACACGGCCCGGGUGCCGACGGUAGGCAGGAGUGGGGAUUUGUGUACUAGGGGGGAAACCCGGAUCAAGCCAUCCGUCGUGGGCGAUGAAGGGCUUCGGGUGAUAAAGCACGUUUGGAGGGAAAGCGGUACCUGCAGAAGACGCACCGGCUAACUACGUGCCAGCAGCCGUGGUAA